rnacentral:rRNA from 1 species
CCCUUGUACACACCGCCCGUCACACCAUGGGAGUGGGUUGCACCAGAAGUAGCUAGUCUAACCUUCGGGGGGACGGUUACCACGGUGUGAUUCAUGACUGGGGUG